UUGUCUUUAGCUCAGUUGGUUAAAAUAUGGUGUUGAUAAUGCCAAGGAUGCAGGUUCAAUUCCUGUAUGGUACA